rnacentral:tRNA from 1 species
GGGGGCUCAGAGGUAAAGCAUUCGCCUAGCAUGAGUGAGGCCCUGGGUUCGAUCCUCAGAACCA